UGGAAAUAAGGGGCCGCAAGCCCUGAUGCAGCCAUGCCGCGUGUGUGAAGAAGGCCUUCGGGUUCUCAAGCACUUUCAGUAAGGAGGAAGGUUAAGUGUUAUAGCACUUAGCUGUGACGUUACUUACAGAAGAAGCACCGGCUAACUCCGUGCCAGCAGCCGCGGUAAUACGGAGGGUGCGAGCGUUAAUCGGAAUUACUGGGCGUAAAGCGUACGCAGGCGGUUUGUUAAGCGAGAUGUGAAAGCCCCGGGCUCAACCUGGGAACUGCAUUUCGAACUGGCAAACUAGAGUGUGAUAGAGGGUGGUAGAAUUUCAGGUGUAGCGGUGAAAUGCGUAGAGAUCUGAAGGAAUACCGAUGGCGAAGGCAGCCACCUGGGUCAACACUGACGCUCAUGUACGAAAGCGUGGGGAGCAAACAGGAUUAGAUACCCUGGUAGUCCACGCCGUAAACGAUGUCUACUAGAAGCUCGGGUCUUCGGACUUGUUUUUCAAAGCUAACACAUUAAGUAGACCGCCUGGGGGAGUACGGCCGCAGGGUUAAAAACUCAAAUGAAUU
rnacentral:rRNA from 1 species